UUGACAGCACAGGAGAUAAAAGUUCUAUUUAUCCACAGACAGAUACUGCACGGAGCACAGGCAACAGCACAAGCUUUCCCCACACUGCCCCCCACCAAUGCACCUGAAUCCUGGUGCGAUGUUCAGUCUUCAUAGGCUCUUCAGACUUUGGCCUCU
rnacentral:sRNA from 1 species